rnacentral:lncRNA from 1 species
CAUACACUCUGGCAAUGAGGACACUGAGCUCGCUUCUGAAAUUUGACAAGAUAACCACUAAAAUCUCUUUGAAUUCUAUGUUGUUGUGAUCCCAUGGCUACAGAGGAUCAGGAGUUGACAUAGAUACUCUUUGGAUUUCAUACCAUGUGGAGGCUUUCUUACUUCCACGUGACCUUGACUGAGUUUUGAAUAGCGCCCAACCCAAGUUCAAAGGCUGAUAAGAGAGAAAAUCUCAUGAGGAGGUUUUAGUCUAGGGAAAGUCAUUCAGUGGAUGUGAUCUUGGCUCACAGGGGACGAUGUCAAGCUCUUCCUGGCUCCUUCUCAGCCUUGUUGCUGUAACUGCUGCUCAGUCCACCAUUGAGGAACAGGCCAAGACAUUUUUGGACAAGUUUAACCACGAAGCCGAAGACCUGUUCUAUCAAAGUUCACUUGCUUCUUGGAAUUAUAACACCAAUAUUACUGAAGAGAAUGUCCAAAACAUGAAUAAUGCUGGGGACAAAUGGUCUGCCUUUUUAAAGGAACAGUCCACACUUGCCCAAAUGUAUCCACUACAAGAAAUUCAGAAUCUCACAGUCAAGCUUCAGCUGCAGGCUCUUCAG